rnacentral:rRNA from 1 species
UACAGAGGUGGCUAGCGUUGUUCGGAUUUACUGGGCGUAAAGGGUGCGUAGGCGGCUUCGUAAGUCGAAUGUGAAAGCCCGUCGCUCAACGACGGAAGUGCAUUGGAAACUGCGAGGCUUGAGUGCAGGAGGGGAGAGCGGAAUUCCUGGUGUAGCGGUGAAAUGCGUUGAGAUCAGGAAGAACGCCGGUGGCGAAGGCGGCUCUCUGGAAUGUAACUGACGCUGAGGCACGAAAGCCAGGGGAGCAAACAGG